rnacentral:rRNA from 1 species
UAGAUAGAAACCGACCUGGCUCACGCCGGUUUAAACUCAGAUCAUGUAAAAUUUUAAAGGUCGAACAGACCUAGACUUGCCAGCUUCUACACCAACAACUAAUUUUAAUCCAACAUCGAGGUCGCAACCUUUUUUUUCGAUAAGAACUCUAAAAAAAAUUACGCUGUUAUCCCUAAGGUAAUUUAUUCUUUAAAUCUUUAAUAUAGGAUCUUAUAACCAUAAAUAAAUGUACUUACAAAAAAAAAGUUUAUUAAAUUUUUUUGUCACCCCAACAAAAUUAUUAAAAUAAGCUAAACCCCUUUAAAAUAGCAUACUUUUAAAAAUAAAACUCUAUAGGGUCUUCUCGUCUUCUACUUAAAUUUAAGCUUUCUCACUUAAAAAUAAAAUUCUAAUAAAUUUUUUUAGAGACAGAACUUUUCUCAUCAAGCCUUUCAUUCCAGCUUUCAAUUAAAAAACUAAUGACUAUGCUACCUUUGUACGGUCAAAAUACCGCAGCCAUUUAAAUUAUCAUUGGGCAGGCCARACUUGAAAUUAUAAUCAACAARACAUGUUUUUAAUAA